GGAAUAUUUCCUGAAUUAAUUCUGAAUGCCUCUUGUAGUGUGGAGAAGAUAGUCAUGUUUACAGGGAAUGUGGUGGAAAGGAGGUGGUGGUGAUGGCGGAAUCGGCAAUCGGAUUUGUCACAAGUGUGGACAAGAGGGGUAGUUUACCAGUGAGUGUCCACAAGCCUGAUGGGGUGGUGGUAGUGGAGUAACAAAUGUCAUGAAGCUGGCCACACCUCGAAAGACUGCAGAAACUAUUCAAUGAAUUGAUUGAAGAUGGAAAGCUGCAUGAACAAUACAUUCUGGAAGCUGUGACAUGCAAUGAAAAGGAACUGAUGAAGGGCAUUGUCUGUGGGGAAGGCUUUAACAAUUGUGGUGAAGUCAUUCUCCUGGUUACAGGAAAAGACCUUAAUACAUAACAUCAUUCGAACAAGCCAGCCUGCGCCCACUACUACUUCAGAAAAUUAAGAAUUCUGGAUACGUAGUCGAUACGAGCGUCGAGAAGAAAGGAUUUUUGCUUAUAUUG